rnacentral:rRNA from 1 species
UACGUAGGUGGCAAGCGUUGUCCGGAUUUACUGGGCGUAAAGAGCGCGCAGGCGGUCGUACAAGUCGCGUGUGAAAGCCCCCGGCUCAACUGGGGAGGGUCACGCGAUACUGUUCGACUCGAAGGCAGGAGAGGGAAGCAGAAUUCCCGGUGUAGUGGUGAAAUGCGUAGAUAUCGGGAGGAAUACCAGUGGCGAAGGCGGCUUCCUGGCCUGUACUUGACGCUGAGGCGCGAAAGCUAGGGUAGCAAACAGG